rnacentral:rRNA from 1 species
CCUACGGGGGGCAGCAGUGAGGAAUAUUGGUCAAUGGACGCAAGUCUGAACCAGCCAUGCCGCGUGCAGGAAGACGGUCCUAUGGAUUGUAAACCUCUUUUGUCGGGGAGCAAAAGACGCCACGCGUGGCGAUCCGAGAGUACCCGAAGAAAAAGCAUCGGCUAACUCCGUGCCAGCAGCCGCGGUAAUACGGAGGAUGCGAGCGUUAUCCGGAUUUAUGGGGUUUAAAGGGUGCGCAGGCGGAAGAUCAAGUCAGCGGUAAAAUUGAGAGGCUCAACCUCUUCGUGCCGUUGAAACUGGUUUUCUUGAGUGAGCGAGAAGUAUGCGGAAUGCGUGGUGUAGCGGUGAAAUGCGUAGAUAUCACGCAGAACUCCGAUUGCGAAGGCAGCAUACCGGCGCUCAACUGACGCUCAUGCACGAAAGUGUGGGUAGCGAACAGGAUUAGAUACCCUUGUAGUC